AUUGAACGCUGGCGGCAGGCUUAACACAUGCAAGUCGAGCGGGGUGAUGGUGCUUGCACUAUCACUUAGCGGCGGACGGGUGAGUAAUGCUUAGGAAUCUGCCUAUUAGUGGGGGACAACAUCUCGAAAGGGAUGCUAAUACCGCAUACGUCCUACGGGAGAAAGCAGGGGAUCACUUGUGACCUUGCGCUAAUAGAUGAGCCUAAGUCGGAUUAGCUAGUUGGUGGGGUAAAGGCCUACCAAGGCGACGAUCUGUAGCGGGUCUGAGAGGAUGAUCCGCCACACUGGGACUGAGACACGGCCCAGACUCCUACGGGAGGCAGCAGUGGGGAAUAUUGGACAAUGGGGGGAACCCUGAUCCAGCCAUGCCGCGUGUGUGAAGAAGGCCUUAUGGUUGUAAAGCACUUUAAGCGAGGAGGAGGCUCUUUUGGUUAAUACCCAAGAUGAGUGGACGUUACUCGCAGAAUAAGGAUCGGCUAACUCCGUGCCAGCCGCCGCCGUAA
rnacentral:rRNA from 1 species